GUGAGGAAUAUUGCGCAAUGGAGGCAACUCUGACGCAGCCAUGCCGCGUGCAGGAAGAAGGCGCUACGCGUUGUAAACUGCUUUUAACCGGGAAGAAACCCCAGGACGUGUCCUGGGUUGACGGUACCGGAGGAAUAAGCACCGGCUAACUUCGUGCCAGCAGCCGCGGUAAUACGAAGGGUGCAAGCGUUAUCCGGAUUCAUUGGGUUUAAAGGGUGCGUAGGCGGAGCGUUAAGUCAGUGGUUAAAUCCUGCAGCUUAACUGUAGACUUGCCAUUGAUACUGGCGCACUUGAGUGCGCUUGAAGUGGGCGGAAUGUGCCGUGUAGCGGUGAAAUGCUUAGAUAUGGCACAGAACACCAAUUGCGAAGGCAGCUCACUAAGGCGAUACUGACGCUGAGGCACGAAAGCGUGGGGAUCGAACAGGAUUAGAAACCCUAGUAGUCC
rnacentral:rRNA from 1 species